rnacentral:rRNA from 1 species
CCUAGAAAUCAAACACAGGCAUUUCUCACGUCCUCACAAGCUAAUCAGGGGCAAGUCUGGUUAGCACUUGGAUGGGAGACCACCUGGGAACUUAGGACCUCUCCAGGU